ACUUUAAUUUAUAAAAGAUCGACAGAGUCAUUCCUGUGCUGGCAACAGAGGUUGGUGUAGAUCAAGUUGUUUCAGUCAUGAAAAAAUUGACUUUUUCCACAGUGCUGUAUGUGGUGGCUAUGUUUGCUGUAGACCCAAGUAGAUAGAUGGCUCUGUAUCGGGAGUUGAGGUGUAAUGAUGAAAACUCACCUAAAGCCCUAUUCAGUAAAUAGUUCUAAAACUUAAAAGCUUUAAAAAUAUUUAGACUAAUUUAGUAAUGCUUAGUCAGAAUUAUAUCUUCUUGGUUAUGUAUUCAUGUAUGUCUUACGUUAUCUGACAGUCAAUAAAUAUGGUAGUAUCAAUAGCUA